rnacentral:rRNA from 1 species
GACGAACGCUGGCGGCGUGCUUAACACAUGCAAGUCGAACAGAAAGGCCCUGCUUGCAGGGUACUCGAGUGGCGAACGGGUGAGUAACACGUGGGUGAUCUGCCCUGCACUUCGGGAUAAGCCUGGGAAACUGGGUCUAAUACCGGAUAUGACCUUCCAUGUAGUGUGGGGGGUGGAAAGAUUUAUCGGUGUGGGAUGAGCCCGCGGCCUAUCAGCUUGUUGGUGGGGUAAUGGCCUACCAAGGCGUCGACGGGUAGCCGGCCUGAGAGGGUGGACGGCCACAUUGGGACUGAGAUACGGCCCAGACUCCUACGGGAGGCAGCAGUGGGGAAUAUUGCACAAUGGGCGGAAGCCUUAUGCAGCGACGCCGCGUGGGGGAUGACGGCCUUCGGGUUGUAAACCUCUUUCGACAGGGACGAAGCUUCGGUGACGGUACCUGUAGAAGAAGCACCGGCUAACUACGUG